rnacentral:rRNA from 1 species
UUGGAGGGCAAGUCUGGUGCCAGCAGCCGCGGUAAUUCCAGCUCCAAUAGCGUAUAUUAAAGUUGUUGCAGUUAAAAAGCUCGUAGUUGAAUUUCGGGAUCAGAGUGUCGGUCGUGCCUCGGUACGCACUGGUAUUAUUGGUUCCUACCUUCUGAAGAACCGCGAUGUCAUUAAUUUGGUGUCGUGGGGAAUCGGGACUGUUACUUUGAAAAAAUUAGAGUGUUUAAAGCAGGCUUACGCUUGAAUACAUUAGCAUGGAAUAAUGAAAUAGGACGUUUGAUUCUAUUUUGUUGGUUUCUAGGAUUGAUGUAAUGAUUAAUAGGGAUAGUUGGGGGCAUUAGUAUUCAAUUGUCAGAGGUGAAAUUCUAGGAUUUAUUGAAGACUAACUACUGCGAAAGCAUUUGCCAAGGAUGUUUUCAUUAAUCAAGAACGAAAGUUAGGGGAUCGAAGACGAUCAGAUACCGUCGUAGUCUUAACCAUAAACUAUGCCGACUAGGGAUCGGAUGAUGUUAAUUUUUUAAUAACUCAUUCGGCGCCUUACGGGAAACCAAAGUGUUUGGGUUC